rnacentral:rRNA from 1 species
UACGGAAGGUGCAAGCGUUGUUCGGAAUGACUGGGCGUAAAGCGCACGUAGGCGGGUUUGUAAGUCGGAUGUGAAAGCCCCGGGCUCAACCUGGGAAUAGCACCCGAAACUAUAAAUCUUGAAUGCUUGAGAGGUUGGUGGAAUUCCUGGUGUAGGAGUGAAAUCCGUAGAUAUCAGGAGGAACAUCGGAGGCGAAGGCGGCCAACUGGUGAUGCAUUGACGCUAAGGUGCGAAAGCGUGGGGAGCAAACAGG